UUGACAGUUGGCCCAAUCAAAUUUAAACAUCUUUCCGCCAAAAAGGAAUCCCAGCCAAACCGGCAUGGCUGCUUUUUUAGAGCUGUGAUAAACUAUCGAGUUUUAUAAGUUGCUAGAAGGCGUAACAGUUGAGAAUUAGGUUGAUGUCUAAUUCCCUAAUGGCCCAAUUUAAUUUAAAGGGAAAUAAAGGGAGGCGGUCCAUAAUGGACUUAGAAAUUUACAAAGUUGUCAGAGAUAGUGUAAUGAUCAGUCAGCCGAGCUGCAAUGAAGCCGAGAUAAUAACAGCAGUUUCGGCUCAUCUAAAAUAUGAGCCGGACAGAAGAGGGACCAAUUAAGUACAUGUACAGUUUAAAUUUGUUUAUUACAUGUCAUAUUUUAUUAUAAUCUUUAUAAGCCAUUUUAAGUUCUUUUAUCAUCCAUUUAAUUUUAUUUUAUUUUCUAUGUGUGAUGUCCACAAAAUGUUAACUGCGCCAUUGAGCAUUGAAUGUUUUAUAUUGGUAAUAGGCGCAUU